UACGGAGGGUGCAAACGUUGCUCGGAAUCAUUGGGCGUAAAGCGCACGUAGGCGGUCUGUUAAGUCGGAUGUGAAAGCCCUCGGCUCAACCGAGGAAGUGCAUACGAAACUGGCGGACUUGAAUAUGGAAGAGGGUCGCGGAAUUCCCGGUGUAGAGGUGAAAUUCGUAGAUAUCGGGAGGAACACCGGUGGCGAAGGCGGGUCUCUGGGCCGAUACUGACGCUGAGGAGCGAAAGCGUGGGGAGCGAACAGG
rnacentral:rRNA from 1 species